UAGUCAACCCCAGCCGCGAGGGGAAAGCAGGGCGCAGAGAAUAUUGGCUCCAGCGCUGCGACUCCUGUUUUCCAGCUCUUGAAGAAGAUGAGCUCCAGUGACACCCCACUGGGCACGGUGGCUUUGCUCCAGGAGAAGCAGAAAGCUCAGAAGACGCCGUACAUCGUGCUCAGCGGUAGCGGGAAGAGCAUGAAUGCAAACACCAUCACCAAGUGAAGCACCGGCUUCCUGUUGUCGGUGGGAACGCUUUGGACGCAGUUGUGCUUGCGGGAUGUGCAAGGAUUGUCUCCAUCUGUCGCUUCCGGUGGGAGUCUCGUCCACCUAACCCUGCACUCACCGCUCUUCUGUGUACAUAGUUGUGGGGCUGAGUUUUUAAGCAACUUUUUAUAUCCCUGUGUGAAACCAAAUCGCUGUAAUAAAAAUAGCUGAGACCUCA